rnacentral:rRNA from 1 species
GACGAACGCUGGCGGCGUGCUUAACACAUGCAAGUCGAACGGAAAGGCCCUGCUUUUGUGGGGUGCUCGAGUGGCGAACGGGUGAGUAACACGUGAGUAACCUGUCCCUGACUUUGGGAUAACUUCAGGAAACUGGGGCUAAUACCGGAUAGGAGCUCCUGCUGCAUGGUGGGGGUUGGAAAGAUUCGGUGGUUGGGGAUGGACUCGCGGCUUAUCAGCUUGUUGGUGGGGUAGUGGCUUACCAAGGUUUUGACGGGUAGCCGGCCUGCGAGGGUGAGCGGCCACAUUGGGACUGGGAUGCGGCACAGACUCCUACGGGAGGCAGCAGUGGGGAAUAUUGCACAAUGGGCGGAGGCCUGAUGCAGCAACGCCGCGUGCGGGAUGACGGCAUUCGGGUUGUAAUCCGCUGUCGCCUGUGACGAAGCGUUAGUGACGGUAAUGGGUAAAGAAGCACCGGCUAACUACGUG